AUUAUUUUAAGAUUAUUUUUUAUUGUUGAAAAAAUUAAAAAUAAAUUGUUUUUAACAAAAAUUAAAAUUUAUAAUAUUUCAUUUUUUGGUUUUUUGUUUUAAAUUAAAAUAAUAAAUAUGGGGGAAAAAAAAUUUUUGUUAUAAAUUAUAUUAGUUUAUUUUAAUUAAAAAUAUUUUUUAUUAAAUUUGUUUUUUUUAUUUUUUUAUAAAAAAUAUUAAUUUAAUUAUUAUUAUUGAGUUUAAUUUAGUUAUUUUUAAAAAAAUUUUGUAUAAAAUAAAUUUGAUAAUAAAUGUUUUUUAAAUUCUUUGGGGGUUUAGUUUAUGAUUUUUUGUUUCUGCUCAUUGUUAAAUAAAAGCACUUUUAGCGUGAUUGGUCAAAGGUA
rnacentral:rRNA from 1 species